AAUUGGCCGAAAAAUACUGGCAAAGUCUGGUGGUGCCGCCACAGGAUACUUCAGAAAAUGCCUUUGAUGAGGCCCUUCUCGCUUCCCGUUUGAUGUAAUUUUUCCACCAUUGUGAUAACUGUUUCCUUCCCUACAGGUUGACCAUAGCAAAACACCCAACCGUAGUGUGAGCCAAAGGAGUCGUCGCACCGGAGAGCCCUGCUGCCAGUGAGUUUUAGUUUUUUACAUUUUUUCAGCAACCGAGGGCCCUAAGUGUUUUUUUUCAUAGGAACUGAUGCGAAUUUGGCUGAAUUCGGCUGAAAACGAUCGAGAACAGUCAACCUGAGGUGGAUCGCCGCCGUGCCGAAUUUUUAAAAUUAACUGAGUAGGCCCUGAGACUGAUUUUUGGGUUAUUUGGGACAUUUGUAG
rnacentral:lncRNA from 1 species